rnacentral:rRNA from 1 species
GACGGAGGGUGCAAGCGUUGUUCGGAAUUACUGGGCGUAAAGGGCGCGUAGGCGGUCUGUUAAGUUCGGUGUGAAAGCCCCCGGCUCACCUGGGGAACUGCGCCGGAAACCGACAGACUCGAGUACCGGAGAGGAGGGUGGAAUUCCUGGUGUAGCGGUGAAAUGCGUAGAUAUCAGGAGGAACACCAGUGGCGAAGGCGGCACUCUGGGCCGGUACUGACGCUGAGGAGCGAAAGCGUGGGGAGCGAACAGG